GACGAACGCUGGCGGCGUGCUUAACACAUGCAAGUCGAACGCGCCUGUCCUCUGGGUUUCUGGGGGGUGGGUGAGUGGCGAACGGGUGAGUAACACGUGAGUAACCUGCCCCCUUCUUCGGGAUAACGGUCUGAAAGGGCUGCUAAUACCGGGUAUUCACUGGUCUCCGCAUGGGGUCUGGUGGAAAGGUUUUUUUCUGGUGGGGGAUGGGCUCGCGGCCUAUCAGCUUGUUGGUGGGGUGAUGGCCCACCAAGGCUUUGACGGGUAGCCGGCCUGAGAGGGUGACCGGUCACAUUGGGACUGAGAUACGGCCCAGACUCCUACGGGAGGCAGCAGUGGGGGAUAUUGCACAAUGGGCGCAAGCCUGAUGCAGCGACGCCGCGUGAGGGAUGGAGGCCUUCGGGUUGUGAACCUCUUUCGCCCGUGGUCAAGCCGCGACGUGGGUCGUGGUGAGGGUAGUGGGUAAAGAAGCGCCGGCUAACUACGUG
rnacentral:rRNA from 1 species